GUCCAGACUCCUACGGGAGGCAGCAGUAGGGAAUCUUUCACAAUGGGCGAAAGCCUGAUGGAGCAACGCCGCGUGCAGGAUGAAGGCCUUCGGGUUGUAAACUGCUUUUAUAAGCGAGAAAUAUGAUGGUAACUUAUGAAUAAGGAUCGGCUAACUCCGUGCCAGCAGCCGCGGUAAUACGGAGGAUCCGAGCGUUAUCCGGAUUUAUUGGGUUUAAAGGGAGCGUAGAUGGGUUGUUAAGUCAGUUGUGAAAGUUGGCGGCUCAACCGUAAAAUUGCAAUUGAUACUGGCAGUCUUGAGUACAGUUGAGGUAGGCGGAAUUCCUGGUGUAGCGGUGAAAUGCGUAGAUAUCAGGAGGAACACCGGUGGCGAAGGCGGCCUGCUGGACUGCAACUGACGUUGAGGCCCGAAAGCGUGGGGAGCAAACAGGAUUAGAUACCCUAGUA
rnacentral:rRNA from 1 species